rnacentral:rRNA from 1 species
CCUACGGGAGGCAGCAGUGAGGAAUAUUGGACAAUGGGCGCAAGCCUGAUCCAGCCAUGCCGCGUGCAGGAAGAAGCAUCUAUGGUGUGUAAACUGCUUUUGUACAGGAAGAAACACUCCCUCGUGAGGGAGCUUGACGGUACUGUAAGAAUAAGGACCGGCUAACUCCGUGCCAGCAGCCGCGGUAAUACGGAGGGUCCGAGCGUUAUCCGGAAUCAUUGGGUUUAAAGGGUCCGUAGGCGGUUUAAUAAGUCAGUGGUGAAAUCUGGUCGCUCAACGAUCAAACGGCCAUUGAUACUGUUAGACUUGAAUUAUAAGGAAGUAACUAGAAUAUGUAGUGUAGCGGUGAAAUGCUUAGAUAUUACAUGGAAUACCAAUUGCGAAGGCAGGUUACUACUUAUGGAUUGACGCUGAUGGACGAAAGCGUGGGGAGCGAACAGGAUUAGAUACCCUGGUAGUCCACGCCGUAAACGAUGGAUACUAGCUGUUCGGAGCAAUCUGNGUGNGUAGACGAAGUAGAUAAGUAUACCACCGUACGGGUAGGUACGGUUACGUCGAGAAGUAGAAACGUUAAAGGUAAAGUUAGUACGGACGUGAGACGUAGACCGACGGACGACGACGAGGGAGGAGG